rnacentral:rRNA from 1 species
AGCAGCCGCGGUAAUUCCAGCUCCAAUAGCGUAUAUUAAAGUUGUUGCAGUUAAAAGCUCGUAGUUGAAUUUCGGGGUUAGUAGGUUGGUCAUGCCUCUGGUAUGUACUGGUCUCACUGAUUCCUCCUUCCUGAUGAACCUUAAUGCCAUUAAUUUGGUGUUUUGGGGAAUUUGGACUGUUACUUUGAAAAAUUAGAGUGUUUAAAGCAAGCUAACGCUUGAAUACAUUAGCAUGGAAUAAUGAAAUAGGACGUUCGAUCCUAUUUGUUGGUUCUAGGAUUUGACGUAAUGAUUAAUAGGGAUAGUUGGGGCAUUAGUAUUCAAUUGUCAGAGGUGAAAUUCUUGGAUUUUAUUGAAGACUAACUACUGCGAAAGCAUUUUGCCAAGGAUGUUUUUCAUUAAUCAAGAACGAAAGUUUAGGGGAUCGAAGACGAUCAGAUACCGUCGUAGUCUUAAACCAUAAAACUAUGCCCGACUAGGAUCGGAUGAUGUAAAUUUUUAAAUGACUCAUUCGGCGCUU